AUUGAACGCUGGCGGCAGGCUUAACACAUGCAAGUCGAGCGGCAGCAAUUGAUGUAGCAAUACAUUGAGUUGGCGAGCGGCGGACGGGUGAGGAACACGUAGGAAUUUACCUAGAAGAGGGGGAUAACCAAGGGAAACUUUGGCUAAUACCGCGUAAACUCGAGAGAGGAAAGCUGCCUGAAAGGGUGGCGCUUUUAGAGGAGCCUGCGUCCGAUUAGCUAGUUGGUGAGGUAAAGGCUCACCAAGGCGAUGAUCGGUAACUGGUCUGAGAGGACGACCAGUCACACUGGGACUGAGACACGGCCCAGACUCCUACGGGAGGCAGCAGUGGGGAAUAUUGGACAAUGGGGGCAACCCUGAUCCAGCGAUGCCGCGUGGGUGAAGAAGGCCUUCGGGUUGUAAAGCCCUUUAGGUUGGGACGAAGGAUGCGGGGUGAAUAUCCCUGUAUUUUGACGGUACCGACAGAAUAAGCACCGGCAAACUCUGUGCCAGCCGCCGCAGUAA
rnacentral:rRNA from 1 species